CUUUGCUGAUAUGUUGUUUCAUACUUGCAAAUACAAGAUACGCAGCAUCGCUUGAGUGUUAUAGCUGUUCCAACAUUGAGGAUAUAAACAACUGUACUCACACUGUUCAGUGCAGCGCCGGUCACUCAUGCUACCAAGACACAACAACUAAUGGACAGUCUCGGAUUUAUACACUAGGAUGUAUAGACAAACAUCAAUGCGGUACCCACGGGGGCGGUGCAUCCGAACUGGCGGGUCGAGAUUUACAGGAACGACAAACUGACCAUUGUCAUGAAUGUUGCGGCACUGACGAUUGUAAUAAACAUCUCUGCGAACAUCUCAAACCUACUACAUGCAUAGAUGACGUUAAAAUCGACUGUGCAUUCCUGAACACGGUGACAAAUAUUUGAGAAGACAUCCAUCAUGCAAAAACAAUUUGUCCUCGAUUUUGCGACCUCUGCUCUCUGG